rnacentral:lncRNA from 1 species
CGCCGCUAACCCCCAUCUGGUUGCUGUUCACGGGGGCGUUGGCAUCUGCUGCGGCCUCUGGGUGUGGGGGCGCCGGGUGAUCCAGACCAUGGGGAAGGACCUCACCCCCAUCACACCUUCCAGUGGAUUCACUAUAGAGCUGGCUUCCGCUCUCACUGUUGUGUUUGCUUCCAAUAUCGGAAUCCCAGUCAGUACCACACACUGCAAGGUACGACCCAGGCUGGUGGACCGCCUACCAGCCACAUCUCACCCUUACACUCACAUGGCAUGUUGGUGUGGUGUGGAUUUUAUUUCACCUUUUAUUUAACCA